CUGUUCAUACCGUGUUUCUGAGAAUUUAACAAAAUGGGUGUGUAUCGUCAUCAUAAAUUUUAUUAGAUAAUAACAGAUCAAAGUUUUCACCUGUAAGGAUAAAUACACUUGUUUUCGAUAGGAACAAUUAAAUUUUCAUAUCGUUACAUAAUAAACUAUCCAUGGAAACCUUUAAAUGAAACACGAAGCAGGAUGAUACAUUAGAAAUAUUUAUUUAUGUAAAGGAGACAAAGUGGUGGUGGUGAUUAUCCAAAAAAGGGGGAUCUAUUUUAAAGAUUCGACUCACAGAUUCUAGACGUUUAACUGCAUAUCAGUCAUCUGUUUUAUUUUACUUCUGGUUGAUCUUUGCUUCCAACACAAAUUUAUACAAAAUAAUUAAAUUUCACUACUAAGUUAUAGAUAACUGCACAUUUACAUAGUUCGGUUGAUAACCGGUGUAUUCAUGGAAUCUGGAAGGGGAGAUUCCAAGUCAUGUACUGACGAUGAAGGCGACGCAGCUAUCAAACUCGACUCUGGGCCUGUUCUUUUUACAGAUGUAAAAUUCUUACCCGAUUAUUUUUUGCUAGUUAAAAAAACUCGCAAAAAAUAAGUGGGGAAAGCAAAUUACAACCAAUUUACAUAUUUAUUAUCUCUCACCUUUUGCAAUUCAUUUAUUACAAUUUUUACAUUGAUUAAUUUUCACUUCAUAUUCUUUCGUUUAGCGCAACUCCCACACAGAAUUUCGGCCUUUUAUGACUAUUUCGAAUAUUUUUCACGUUUACCUCCCACCAGUAAUAUGACCCCCAGCGGUCAACCACGCGACAGAUUAUCGACUCGUUUCCGAACCUGCGCUAAUAUUAAUGUUUAUGGCGAAAAUUUUGAGUCCGGUUUCGGCCCCAUCUGAACGGAAAGAUGAACAUACAUACAUACAUAUGUAUAUGACCGUCCCGUAAGGCCCAACUCGGACUAAAAACUUGAAUUUGAAACCAGCUUCGAAUCAGAGAGUGGACGGAUUGAUUACCACGUGUGUUUUCCUGUCUUGGAAAUAUUACACGUUUCCACCAAUUCCUAUGAUUAUUCGAGUGUGGCGACCUUCCUUCCGAUGCCAGAUGAUACGGGAUAUCCGGUUGUGGAAUCAGUGAAAGAAGUUGAUAUCAAUUUUUUCGGAUAUUCCGUCACCACUGAGCGGAAGUUAGAUCGGGAUGGCCUUUACGGCCGAUUGUUGAAGACUUUUCCUAAUGCGAGGGAUUCGAUAAGGGUGACAUAAUUGAAUAAUAUUAGUCUAUAAUUUGGUAAUCUUAUACAUAUGUUAACUAUUUACUGUGAAAAAGAUCAUAUGUACAUACAUAUGACAUGACGUAAUUAUUGUGUAGAUUCAUAAAUUGUCGCAUGAAUAAUUAAAUAAAGCAAUAAUGUGCUAAAUAAUAAUGUA